UGGGGAAUCUUGCACAAUGGGCGAAAGCCUGAUGCAGCGACGCCGCGUGCGGGAUGAAGGCCUUCGGGUUGUAAACCGCUUUCAGCAGGGACGAGGCCGCAAGGUGACGGUACCUGCAGAAGAAGCCCCGGCUAACUACGUGCCAGCAGCCGCGGUAAUACGUAGGUCCCGAGCGUUGUCCGGAUUUAUUGGGCGUAAAGCGAGCGCAGGCGGUUAGAAAAGUCUGAAGUGAAAGGCAGUGGCUCAACCAUUGUAGGCUUUGGAAACUGUUUAACUUGAGUGCAGAAGGGGAGAGUGGAAUUCCAUGUGUAGCGGUGAAAUGCGUAGAUAUAUGGAGGAACACCGGUGGCGAAAGCGGCUCUCUGGUCUGUAACUGACGCUGAGGCUCGAAAGCGUGGGGAGCGAACAGG
rnacentral:rRNA from 1 species